rnacentral:rRNA from 1 species
CCUACGGGGGGCUGCAGUGGGGAAUAUUGGGCAAUGGGGGAAACCCUGACCCAGCGACGCCGCGUGAGGGAAGACGGCCUUCGGGUUGUAAACCUCUUUUGUAUGGGAAGAAGGACGUGACGGUACCAUACGAAUAAGUCCCGGCUAACUACGUGCCAGCAGCCGCGGUAAUACGUAGGGGACGAGCGUUGUCCGGAAUUACUGGGCGUAAAGGGCGCGCAGGCGGUUUGUCAAGUCAGCUGUUAAAAAUGGGGGCUUAACCCUCAUAUGCUGUUGAAACUGGCAGACUGGAGUGCUGUAGAGGCAAGUGGAAUUCCCAGUGUAGCGGUGAAAUGCGUAGAUAUUGGGAAGAACACCGGUGGCGAAGGCGACUUGCUGGGCAGCAACUGACGCUGAGGCGCGAAAGCCAGGGGAGCAAACGGGAUUAGAUACCCCUGUAGUC